CCUGGCUCAGGAUGAAGCUGGCGGCGUGCUUAACACAUGCAAGUCGAACGAAGCACUUAUCUUUGAUUCUUCGGAUGAAGAGGUUUGUGACUGAGUGGCGGACGGGUGAGUAACGCGUGGGUAACCUGCCUCAUACAGGGGGAUAACAGUUAGAAAUGACUGCUAAUACCGCAUAAGACCACAGAGCCGCAUGGCUCAGUGGGAAAAACUCCGGUGGUAUGAGAUGGACCCGCGUCUGAUUAGGUAGUUGGUGGGGUAACGGCCUACCAAGCCAACGAUCAGUAGCCGACCUGAGAGGGUGACCGGCCACAUUGGGACUGAGACACGGCCCAAACUCCUACGGGAGGCAGCAGUGGGGAAUAUUGCACAAUGGGGGAAACCCUGAUGCAGCGACGCCGCGUGAGGAAGAAGUAUUUCGGUAUGUAAAGCUCUAUCAGCAGGGAAGAAAAUGACGGUACCUGACUAAGAAGCACCGGCUAAAUACGUGCCAGCAGCCGCGGUAAUACGUAUGGUGCAAGCGUUAUCCGGAUUUACUGGGUGUAAAGGGAGCGUAGACGGCUGUGUAAGUCUGAAGUGAAAGCCCGGGGCUCAACCCCGGGACUGCUUUGGAAACUAUGCAGCUAGAGUGUCGGAGAGGUAAGUGGAAUUCCCAGUGUAGCGGUGAAAUGCGUAGAUAUUGGGAGGAACACCAGUGGCGAAGGCGGCUUACUGGACGAUGACUGACGUUGAGGCUCGAAAGCGUGGGGAGCAAACAGGAUUAGAUACCCUGGUAGUCCACGCUGUAAACGAUGACUACUAGGUGUCGGGGAGCAAAGCUCUUCGGUGCCGCAGCAAACGCAAUAAGUAGUCCACCUGGGGAGUACGUUCGCAAGAAUGAAACUCAAAGGAAUUGACGGGGACCCGCACAAGCGGUGGAGCAUGUGGUUUAAUUCGAAGCAACGCGAAGAACCUUACCUGCUCUUGACAUCCCGGUGACCGGCGUGUAAUGACGCCUUUUCUUCGGAACACCGGUGACAGGUGGUGCAUGGUUGUCGUCAGCUCGUGUCGUGAGAUGUUGGGUUAAGUCCCGCAACGAGCGCAACCCUUAUCUUCAGUAGCCAGCAUUUUGGAUGGGCACUCUGGAGAGACUGCCAGGGAUAACCUGGAGGAAGGUGGGGAUGACGUCAAAUCAUCAUGCCCCUUAUGAGCAGGGCUACACACGUGCUACAAUGGCGUAAACAAAGGGAAGCGAGCCUGCGAGGGUAAGCAAAUCUCAAAAAUAACGUCUCAGUUCGGAUUGUAGUCUGCAACUCGACUACAUGAAGCUGGAAUCGCUAAUGAUCGCGAAUCAGCAUGUCGCGGUGAAUACGUUCCCUAAGGGGCACACACCGCCCG
rnacentral:rRNA from 1 species